CGUGCAUUCAUAGCGGACAAAGGGUCCGUGCAUAUCAAUAAGCGGAGCAUACGGGUCCGUGCAUUUAAUUAAGCGGAGCAGGCUGCUCCCUGCAUCGGACUAAGUCCAUCGGAACGUGCCGCCCAGGAGGGUGAGCAGCCCCUUCCGGCCACGCGCCGCGUCCGCAGUCUGCCCCCGACGAGUCGAGUUGUUUGGGAAUGCAGCUCAAAGUGGGUGGUAAAUUCCAUCUAAAGCUAAAUAUUGGCGAGAGACCGAUAGCGAACAAGUACAGUGAUGGAAAGAUGAAAAGCACUUUGAAAAGAGAGUGAAACAGUACGUGAAAUUGUUGAAAGGGAAGGGCUUGCAAGCAGACACGGCUUUUGCCGGGCCAGCAUCGGUUUGGGGAGGCGGACAACCGCGGGAGCAUGUGGCGCACCUCGGUGCGUGUUAUAGCUCCCGUCCAUACGCCUUCCCCAGUCCGAGGCCUGCGUUCUAAACUAGGAUGCUGGCGUAAUGGUUGCAAGCC
rnacentral:rRNA from 1 species